rnacentral:lncRNA from 1 species
AUGCCAACGACCUCGAAAAAUUUCUCAGAAGAAAACCCCAGAACUUCACUUCAUGAGAGUACUAAUAAAGAAUUAUCACAUGACGUUAAUCCAGGAAACAAAAAGCAAUUGCUUGCUGCUCCUCCUAGUACAGAAUCUUCACUUGAAAAUAAGAAUAAGGAAGAAGAACAAGAUAUCUUUAUGGAAGAAAGUUCAAGCGAGCUUGGAUGUGCAUCUAAAAGUGAACAGUCAGAGGAGAAACCUCGGUCAUUCUUAGCAAAAUAUUUCAAGCGUCGCAAAGAAAAGGUCAAUGAACACAAUGAGAUCAGUAACGAAGGCAGUAAUAUUUCCAACGACGAUCUACAGAAUUGCGAAAGUAAUGAGGCAAAUUCAAUUUCUGUCUCAGAAGAUGAAAAACGGCCAACAACGUUUCAGAACAUUAGCAGCAUUCUAGGUAUCAAGAAAGCAGAAGAUAAGCCCUCAACCAGUUUUUUCCAGCCAGACUGCAAUUCUACUGCGCUAGACUCAUCCGAAGUGAAAAGCAAUUUAAGCGAUGUAAGUAACGAUGCAGAAAGCAGUGACUGUUGGCAAACUAUCAGUGAAAUUUUUCCUGACUUGGACAACAUUGACCUAGAGGUGGUGCAACUGUUACCAAAGAAUUUACAAGAUGUCAUUUUUAGUUCAGGUCGAGUUAAGAUAGAUUCCAAGAAGGACAUUCCACAUGCGAGCAAAUCUGUAAAUCCCCUUCAAAAGAAAAUCGGGAGAGGUCGCCCACCUAAGAGGGAAAAAGUUACAGACAAGACUUUAAGCCAGUAUUUUAAGUCCAGUGAACUUUCAACGACAACAACACUCAAAGAAGAGAAACGCCCAAACUGUACUCUCAGUCAGUUUUUCUCAAACGUGACACAAAAAAGGAACAUAGUGACACUGCUACAAAACAAGAAAAGAGUGACAAUGAUAUCGAUUCGAACAAUCCGAAGAUUGAGUGCCACGAAACGGAGGACAUUGGAAUCGAUGACAUUAGCCAGAAAGACUUCAGCAUGGAAAGAAUUUAUCAUGAAGAGGAAAGUACAGAGUCUAUUAUUUGCAGCUGUGAUAUUUUUGAGGUGGAAGAAGAAAAUGAAAAGUUGGAUAGAGAGGUGGUGA